UACGUAGGGUGCGAGCGUUGUCCGGAAUUAUUGGGCGUAAAGAGCUUGUAGGCGGUUUUUCGCGUCUGCUGUGAAAAUCCGGUGCUCAACCCCGGACUUGCAGUGGGUACGGGCAGACUAGAGUGUGGUAGGGGAGACUGGAAUUCCUGGUGUAGCGGUGAAAUGCGCAGAUAUCAGGAGGAACACCGGUGGCGAAGGCGGGUCUCUGGGCCGUAACUGACGCGGAGGAGCGAAAGCGUGGGGAGCGAACAGG
rnacentral:rRNA from 1 species